UCCUACGGGAGGCAGCAGUGGGGAAUAUUGGACAAUGGGCGAAAGCCUGAUCCAGCCAUACCGCGUGAAUGAUGAAGGCCUUAGGGUUGUAAAAUUCUUACGCCAGGGAUGAUAAUGACAGUACCUGGUAAAGAAGCCCCGGCUAACUUCGUGCCAGCAGCCGCGGUAAUA
rnacentral:rRNA from 1 species